UAGUGGCGAACGGGUGAGUAACACGUGGGCAAUCUGCCCUUCACUCUGGGACAAGCCCUGGAAACGGGGUCUAAUACCGGAUAACACCCUCACAGGCAUCUGUGAGGGUUAAAAGCUCCGGCGGUGAAGGAUGAGCCCGCGGCCUAUCAGCUUGUUGGUGAGGUAAUGGCUCACCAAGGCGACGACGGGUAGCCGGCCUGAGAGGGCGACCGGCCACACUGGGACUGAGACACGGCCCAGACUCCUACGGGAGGCAGCAGUGGGGAAUAUUGCACAAUGGGCGAAAGCCUGAUGCAGCGACGCCGCGUGAGGGAUGACGGCCUUCGGGUUGUAAACCUCUUUCAGCAGGGAAGAAGCGAAAGUGACGGUACCUGCAGAAGAAGCGCCGGCUAACUACGUGCCAGCAGCCGGGGUAAUACGUAGGGCGCAAGCGUUGUCCGGAAUUAUUGGGCGUAAAGAGCUCGUAGGCGGCUUGUCACGUCGGUUGUGAAAGCCCGGGGCUUAACCCCGGGUCUGCAGUCGAUACGGGCUAGCUAGAGUGUGGUAGGGGAGAUCGGAAUUCCU
rnacentral:rRNA from 1 species